UUUCCGUAGGUGAACCUGCGGAAGGAUCAUUAGUGAAUUUUAGAGUGCCCGCUUUUAACAGCGGGGCUCGACAUCCACUUUUUCACCCUGUGCAUUAUUCUUUUGCAGUGGUUUUGUUCGGGAGGGAUUCUGAGCAUUUCUGCCGCAUUUUAUUUCACAAACUCUACAGUUUAAGAAUGUAAACAAACCAUAACAAAAAAAAACUUUCAACAACGGAUCUCUUGGCUCUCGCAUCGAUGAAGAACGCAGC
rnacentral:misc_RNA from 1 species